rnacentral:rRNA from 1 species
CAAUAGCGUAUAUUAACGUUGUUGCAGUUAAAAAGCUCGUAGUUGGAUUUCUGGAGGGAGCGUCGGCCCGUAUUUACGAGUGCGUGACGUCUCUGUCCAUCCUUGCGGGAAGGCACGGCAUUGAUUUGUUGUGUCGGAUCGCAUCAUUUACUGUGAAAAAAUUAGAGUGUUCAAAGCAGGCUUUCGCUUGAAUACAUUAGCAUGGAAUAAUAAGAUAGGACUUUGGUGCUGUUUUGUUGGUUGAGCCUAAAGUAAUGAUUAAUAGGGAUAGUUGGGGGCACCUGUAUUGCGUUGUCAGAGGUGAAAUUCUUGGAUUUACGCAAGACAAACAGCUGCGAAAGCGUCUGCCAAGGAUGUUUUCAUUAA